rnacentral:rRNA from 1 species
GAUGAACGCUGGCGGCGUGCCUAAUACAUGCAAGUCGAGCGAACAGACGAGGAGCUUGCUCCUCUGACGUUAGCGGCGGACGGGUGAGUAACACGUGGAUAACCUACCUAUAAGACUGGGAUAACUUCGGGAAACCGGAGCUAAUACCGGAUAAUAUAUUGAACCGCAUGGUUCAAUAGUGAAAGACGGUUUUGCUGUCACUUAUAGAUGGAUCCGCGCCGCAUUAGCUAGUUGUUAAGGUAACGGCCUACCAAGGCGACGAUGCGUAGCCGACCUGAGAGGGUGAUCGGCCACACUGGACCUGAGACACGGUCAAGACGCCUACGGGAGGCAGCAGUAGGGAAUCUUCCGCAAUGGGCGAAAGCCUGACGGAGCAACGCCGCGUGAGUGAUGAAGGUCUUCGGAUCGUAAAACUCUGUUAUUAGGGAAGAACAAAUGUGUAAGUAACUAUGCACGUCUUGACGGUACCUAAUCAGAAAGCCACGGCUAACUACGUG